rnacentral:lncRNA from 1 species
UUUCUUUUAAGUUGGGGAUAAUGUGACAACUCGAAUUUCCAAGAUUCUAUUUCGCAUUUAUUGCACGUUCUUGUAUUAUUUAGUUGAUUGAUUUCACAGUUAGUUGUUAUGAAAUUGUAUAUACUUGUCAAAUAUGUGAACUUGGUGGUGAAACUGUGAAAUUGAUUGAGAUGGUGUACCUUUGUAAAAUAGAAUAAUUGAGGGUGUGAAGAGUUAUUAGUGAAAACUUAAUUAUACUUAACCCUAAUCCCCUUUUCACUAAUCACUCUCUCAAAAUCAAAACACGUACUUGUAACUCUCUAAUCCUCUAGCAAGCAUCAUCACCAUCAUCAUUGGCACAAGAUAAUCAUCACACUUGAUUCCUCUUUCUCUAGAAUCAUUCAAGGUAAUUGUUAAUGAUUGUGCGUUGAUUAUUUGAUUGUAUCAAUUCUUGACUAAUUGUUGAUUGAUUGAUGCUUAUAAAACCCUAGUUCUUCAUGUGAUAGGUUGUGAUUUUGAUUUGAUUCUGAAUUAUUGAUGAUAAUGAUUAGUCGUAUGAUUGAUAGAUGGUUCCUAUAAUGAUAUAGUUUGAUUAUUGUUGAUCAUGAGUGGAUUGAUUAUGAUUCUGCCGUCACUGUGUUUGAUAUUAGGGUUAGAAACCAAGAGAAAUGUAACUGAUUUGAUUCAUUUGAUUCUGUAUUGGAACUCACGAUUUCUGUCAGAGUUUCGUAACCUUGAUCCUAGUUGUCUGAGUUUAAUAUGAUGUUUCAUGUCUGAUUUAUUGAUGAAUCUAUGUCUGAGUUUGUAAUGGAAAAUAAUUAAAUCCGAGUUUCAAAACAAACAUGAGGGAUC